rnacentral:lncRNA from 1 species
GGCAGCAGGCUGCGUGACAAAGUGCUGCGCGCUCCCUGCCAGCCUGCUGGGGUUAUCUAUUGACGGAGAGCAAACACCUCGCCCUCAGCCCCAAACCCUGAGCGAGAGGGACGGCCGCCAGCAGCUCGGGGACUCCUGCUUGCCCCGGCCCCUCUGCGGGCACCAGCCCCGGGGCCCUUCUCGCGCACGGUGCUCGCGUGGGCACCCCGAGCAUCUCGGCACGGCCCCCGAGCAGCCCUGGGAGGUCAGGGAUGGGCUGCAGCACCCUCCGCUCGCUGGAGCCAGCAGACUCCAGCCGGGAAAACCUGUUCCCAGGGGAGGUUACGCAAGGAGCGUGACAGGGCUCUGGCUGCUGCCCAGACCCGGGGCUGGCUCGCGGCUCACACCCAGGGGCCGGGACCUCUCCUCGCACCACCGGGGAGCCCCGAUGGCCACAGCCCCACAGCUCAGCUGGGAGCAGCGCAGGUGCAGGGGAGGGAUGGAGGGCUGGGCAAGGAUGGGGUCAGCCUUGGGAUUUUUGUGUGAGAGCAGGGUCCCCUGUGCGAGCUGCCUUGCUGGACCACGAGGGUGCACAUGGCACGGCAUGGCACGGCGUGGCAUGGCACAGCACCACCAUGGCACGGCACAGCAUGGCACGGCACAUCAGCAGGAGCCAGGCGUCCCAGCAAGGCAAAUCCCCCUGUAAGCAGUAGAUGACCACCCCCAGAAGAGGUGGGACCUGGCCCAAGGGUCCCUCCUGCCCCCCAGCACAGCCUCCUGCCGGAGCUCUGGGCCCCUGCCGCAUCUCCAGGAGGACACUGGGGGGGUCCUUGCAGGGCUGCGGGCAGAGAAUUGGGGUGCCAGGGCUACGGCCAUCAGGGGGUUGGAAGAGAAAAGGGCUGCGCCCUUGCAAGUGUCGGAUGGGUGAUUUUUAACCAAGCCACACCUCUGGCAGCAAGGAGGGCAGGCAAGGAACUGAAGCUUGUUCUCCCUGCCAAAAAGGUUUCUCUGGGUCUUUGCAGGGCAGCCUUAACACCUA